GAUGAAGAACGCAGCGAAAUGCGAUAAGUAAUGCGAAUUGCAGAAUUCCAGUGAGUCAUCGAAUCUUUGAACGCACAUUGCGCCCUUUGGUAUUCCGAAGGGCAUGCCUGUUCGAGCGUCAUUAUCACCCCUCAAGCCCUCGGCUUGGUGUUGGACGGUUUGGUGGAGGCCCCCUCGGGGGCUCCUGCCCCUCCCAAAGACAAUGACGGCGGCCUCGUUGGACCCCCGGUACACUGAGUUCUUCACGGGACACGUAUCGGACACAUGGGUUUACGGGACACGGUCUGCCUCCCCUCAGGGAGAAUCUUUCUAAGGUUGACCUCGGAUCAGGUAGGGAUACCCGCUGACCUUAAGCAUAUCAAUAAGCGGAGGA
rnacentral:misc_RNA from 1 species